UACGUAGGUGGCUAGCGUUGUCCGGAUUUACUGGGCGUAAAGAGCGCGCAGGCGGUCGUUCAAGUCGAGUGUGAAAGCCCCCGGCUCAACUGGGGAGGGUCAUUCGAUACUGAUCGACUGGAAGGCAGGAGAGGGUAGUGGAAUUCCCGGUGUAGUGGUGAAAUGCGUAGAUAUCGUAAGGAAGACCAGUGGCGAAGGCGGGUCUCUGGACAGUUCCUGACGCUGAGGCACGAAGGUCAGGGGAGCAAACGGG
rnacentral:rRNA from 1 species